GUUGAAGAUAUUUCAGACUGCCAGAAAUACAGCCUCAUCUGAAUCCUUGCCACUGUCUUCACUAGGCAAGCAGCCACCGCCACUUGGGGACCUACAGCUUAAGUCCUCCACACCAGACUCCUGAUCACUGUUAGCUGAGAGACACAUGUUGUCCUAAAUGAUCCAUUCAUGGAUUAUUCAUCAUUAGAGUGCAUACACAUAAGUUCGUUGAACAUUUGGUAAGAUCUAUGGUUCAUUUGCAUUGGAUCUGUCCUGAAGAUGCAACUCUAAGGACAUAAACAGCUUGAACCAAUUAUGACGCACAAUAGAAAGAAAGUUGAUCCAAAUAAAUAUCACAAAAUCGUGGAAUGGAAGAAGUUGAAAUUUGGAAACCGCAGACGAGAACAGAAUUGAAAGAGACAUUUCUCAGUGGAAGAAGUAAGUAACCAUGAAAUUAGGACACACAACUAUCAAUAUAGCUUUAAUCUUAAGCUUCUUUUCAGACUAAUACUCCGUUGUGAAAUGGUGCAGAGGCGUUGGCUGAUUAUGAGCGUACGAGGAACAAACACAUAGUAUCUGAGACUGAAUUUACUCUCUAUAAGUCACCUUAUGGAAUGAGAAAUAUUAAAUACAAAGGCACUCUGUUCUGUACAAACACAUCCUACAAUUCUUAGUAGCAAAUGGUGCUACCUACUUGUACAAG